rfam:Schistosoma mansoni strain Puerto Rico chromosome W, complete genome
AUUCAGCUGACGAGUCCCAAAUAGGACGGAAUACGUGUCUUGGAU